rnacentral:rRNA from 1 species
GACGAACGCUGGCGGCGCGCCUAACACAUGCAAGUCGAACGGAGCUGAGAGAAGCUUGCUUUUCUUAGCUUAGUGGCGAACGGGUGAGUAACGCGUGAGUAACCUGCCCUGGAGUGGGGGACAACAGUUGGAAACGACUGCUAAUACCGCAUAAGCCCACGAUCCGGCAUCGGAUUGAGGGAAAAGGAUUUAUUCGCUUCAGGAUGGACUCGCGUCCAAUUAGCUAGUUGGUGAGGUAACGGCCCACCAAGGCGACGAUUGGUAGCCGGACUGAGAGGUUGAACGGCCACAUUGGGACUGAGACACGGCCCAGACUCCUACGGGAGGCAGCAGUGGGGGAUAUUGCACAAUGGGGGAAACCCUGAUGCAGCGACGCCGCGUGGAGGAAGAAGGUUUUCGGACUGUAAACUCCUGUCGUGAGGGACGAUAAUGACGGUACCUAACAAGAAAGCACCGGCUAACUACGUG